rnacentral:lncRNA from 1 species
GAGUAGCUGGGACUGCAGGCGCCCGCCACCAUGCCUGGCUAAUUUUUUGUAUGUUUAGUAGAGACGGGGUUUCACCGUGUUAGCCAGGAUGGUCUCUAUCUCCUGACCUUGUGAUCUGCCUGCCUCGGCCUCCCGAAGUGCCGGGAUUACAAGCGUGAGCCACCAUUCCCGGCCCAAACAACUCUCAGAUGUGGAAAUGAAGUUCAGAGAAUUUAAGUAAAUUCCCAAGUUCAUGCAGGAGGAGAAGAAGUAUGAAGUGCUUGCUUGGACCUUUCUACUGUGCUUAUUAUUCUGUCUUCUCCUCAUGGCAAAUGCUUCCUGUCCUUGAACAUCAGACUUCAAGUUCUUCAGUUUUGGGACUUGGACUGGCCCCUUGCUCCUCAGCUUCCCAAUGGCCUACUGUGGGACCUUGUGAUCAUAUUUCUUUUUUAUUUUCAUUUAUUAAAUACAGAAGAAAUAUUUCGCUGAAGACACAGGAAACCCUAUUUUGUAUAAACGAGGGAUUGCAAGAGAUUGUUGGAAGAUCAAAGAUGGGUGAAUUGGAGCUCUUCCUGAGAACAAAAAGGAUUUAUGAAGGAAAAAGCAGCUAAUCAAAGAAGUUCUGAGUUUAAAUUCUGUUUUGUCCACUUACUAGCCAUUUGGCCUUGGGCAAGUCACUUUACUGGACCUCAGUUUCCUUGUAUGUGAAAGGUUUUGGUAAAAAUCAUAUUAGUUAAAGAAUGUAAAGAGUUUUAUAAAUUACAAAGUGAUUAAAAAAAGUAAAAUGUAUUGUUGUUUAGGAACAAUGAAAAAAAAAGAAACCUUGACAUUUUUUCUUCAAGUUCUUGCCUAAAAUGUUUAUUUGUUUGGCCCUUUUUAGAUUUAACAAAUUCUAUGUGUCUAAAUAUCAGUGUAGACCCCUUCUUACCCUACUGGAUUUAUAAGGUACUAAAAGUAGAUAUGCAUCUCUUCUGUCUUGGUUCGCUCUAAAAUGGGAUGUUUGCAAACCUCUUGGUUUUUCUUUUUUAAUAUGGAUGAAGCUUAUAUUAAUUUUUGGCUUGGUAUUAAAUUUUGUUUGGAAUAUUAUUAA